ACUCUGCUGUCAAGUGCCCAGCCUCAGUAAAUGUGCCAUAUGUAGUCAAGCUCCUCAAAGUGACAUUUGAAGAGAGGAAAGGCACCGUCUUGGACAAACUUCCAGUCUACUUCUUGAAUGCUGAAUGCCUGCUGGCAGAAUGCGAGCUGCACUUCGCCAUGAGUUUUACAAGCAUGAAAGGCGUGUGCACCAGCAUACUGGAGGGCUUCGGCAAGGAUCACGGGAUACGCCAAGCAACACUGAUGGACGUUCAAGCCUUUCUGCGGUCAAGAUCAUCCCGCGAUGAUGCUUUGAGCACGGAAGACGUUCCGACAGUUGAGAGAGGAUGCCCAGGACCGAAAGCCUUUCUGGGGUCCAAAACAAAGGGUAUUCUCUGUCCCGGAAGCAGUCCCCAGGUGGUCAACUUACCAAGCACCUGCUCCGACCUCAAGGCGUCUGUCCUUCUGCUGGGUGUUUAUUAUAUUUUGAACUUGAGCUAUCCAUCUUCCUAUGGGCAGCUUUUAGGGUUUUUGCAAACAUUCAUUGUAAAACGGGGGUCAAGGUUCGACAGAGGUUACCAAUCAGCUCGCCUCUGCUCCCUGAUAAGUGCUUGCAAACAGUAUUUGAAGUAGCUUAACAAAUUGAGCGCUAUUCUGGUUCUUGACAAGAGUACAGAUCUUCCUCCUUUGCGAAAUUUUCUAGUACUUUUAUUUCAAAGUUCGUCUGAGUAAAAUAGGGUGUAGUUCUAAGUUAGAAAUUGCGACAAGCAUAUCAUCCCGAGAUGUGAUAAAAUUUGUUUGGAAUAAAGUUCUUUCAAGUUGA
rnacentral:misc_RNA from 1 species